rnacentral:rRNA from 1 species
UACGGAGGGUGCGAGCGUUGUCCGGAAUUACUGGGCGUAAAGCGCGCGUAGGCGGCUCUUCAAGUCAGGCGUGAAAGCCCCGGGCUUAACUCGGGAACUGCGCUUGAUACUGUCGAGCUAGAGUGUGGAAGGGGCGAUUGGAAUUCCGUGUGUAGCGGUGAAAUGCGUAGAUAUACGGAGGAACACCAGAGGCGAAGGCGGAUCGCUGGGCCAACACUGACGCUGAUGUGCGAAAGCUAGGGGAGCAAACGGG